rnacentral:rRNA from 1 species
GACGAACCGUGCGAACGUUGUUCGGAUUCACUGGGCUUAAAGGGCGCGUAGGCGGGCGGUCAAGUCAGGGGUGAAAGUCCACGGCCCAACCGUGGAAGUGCCUUUGAUACUGGCCGCCUCGAGGGAGGUAGGGGCAUGCGGAACUUCCGGUGGAGCGGUGAAAUGCGUAGAUAUCAGGAAGAACAUCGGUGGCGAAGGCGCUCUGCUGGACCAUAACUGACACUCAGGGACGAAAGCUAGGGGAGCGAAUGGG